rnacentral:rRNA from 1 species
GACGAACGCUGGCGGCGUGCCUAAUACAUGCAAGUAGAACGCUGAAGGAGGAGCUUGCUUCUCCGGAUGAGUUGCGCACGGGUGAGUAACGCGUAGGUAACCUCCCUGGUAGCGGGGGAUAACUAUUGGAAACGAUAGCUAAUACCGCAUAACAGUAGAUAUCGCAUGAUAUCUGAUAGAAAGGUGCAAUUGCAUCACUACCAGAUGGACCUGCGUUGUCUUAGCUAGUUGGUGAGGUAACGGCUCAACAAGGCGACGAUACAUCGCCGACCCGAGGAGGGGAUCGGCCACACUGGGACUGGGGCAAGGCCCAGACUCCCUCCGGGGGCAGCCGGUGGGAAUCCUCGGGAAAGGAGGGAAGGCUUACCGGGCAACGCCGCGGUAGUGAAGGAGGUUUUCGGAUCGGAAAGCUUUGGUGUAAAGGAAGAACGAUUGGGGGAGUGGAAAGUGCACACUGUGACGGUAUCUUACCAGAAAGGGACGGCUAACUACGUG